UACAGAGGUCCCGAGCGUUGUUCGGAUUCACUGGGCGUAAAGGGUGCGUAGGCGGUCGGGUAAGUCUGAUGUGAAAUCUCACAGCUUAACUGUGAAACUGCAUUGGAUACUAUUCGGCUUGAGGUCUGGAGGGGGGACUGGAAUUCCGGGUGUAGUGGUGAAAUGCGUAGAGAUCCGGAGGAACACCAGUGGCGAAGGCGGCUUCCUGGUCCGACACCGACGUUCAGGCACGAAAGCGUGGGGAGCAAACAGG
rnacentral:rRNA from 1 species